GCUUCCGUGGCGCAAUUGGUUAGCGCGUUCGGCUGUUAACCGAAAGGUUGCUGGUUCAAGCCCAGCCGGGAGCG
rnacentral:tRNA from 1 species